AGUGAACGCUGGCGGCAGGCCUAACACAUGCAAGUCGAACGGCAGCACAAGAGAGCUUGCUCUCUGGGUGGCGAGUGGCGGAGGGGUGAGGAAUGCAUAGGAAUCUGCCCAUUUGUGGGGGAUAACCUGGGGAAACAGGGACUAAUACAGCAUACGACCUACGGGGGAAAGCAGGGGAUCUUCGGACCUUGCGCAGAUGGAUGAGCCGAUGCCGGAUUAGCUAGUUGGAGGGGUAAAGGCGCACCAAGGCGACGAUCCGUAGCUGGUCUGAGAGGAUGAUCAGCCACACUGGAACUGAGACACGGCCCAGACUCCUACGGGAGGCAGCAGUGGGGAAUAUUGGACAAUGGGCGCAAGCCUGAUCCAGCCAUGCCGCGUGUGUGAAGAAGGCCUUCGGGUUGUAAAGCACUUUUGUUGGGAAAGAAAAGCAGCCGGUUAAUACCCGGUUGUCAUGACGGUACCCAAAGAAUAAGCACCGGCUAACUUCGUG
rnacentral:rRNA from 1 species